GACGAACGCUGGCGGCGUGCUUAACACAUGUAAGUCGAACGGUAAGGCCCUUUCGGGGGUACACGAGUGGCGAACGGGUGAGUAACACGUGGGUGAUCUGCCCUGCACUUUGGGAUAAGCCUGGGAAACUGGGUCUAAUACCGGAUAGGACUACGCGAUGCAUGUCGUGUGGUGGAAAGCUUUUGCGGUGUGGGAUGGGCCCGCGGCCUAUCAGCUUGUUGGUGGGGUGAUGGCCUACCAAGGCGACGACGGGUAGCCGGCCUGAGAGGGUGUCCGGCCACACUGGGACUGAGAUACGGCCCAGACUCCUACGGGAGGCAGCAGUGGGGAAUAUUGCACAAUGGGCGCAAGCCUGAUGCAGCGACGCCGCGUGGGGGAUGACGGCCUUCGGGUUGUAAACCCCUUUCAGCACAGACGAAGCGUAAGUGACGGUAUGUGCAGAAGAAGCACCGGCCAACUACGUG
rnacentral:rRNA from 1 species